rnacentral:rRNA from 1 species
CCUACGGGAGGCAGCAGUGGGGAAUAUUGCACAAUGGGGGAAACCCUGAUGCAGCGACGCCGCGUGAAGGAAGAAGUAUUUCGGUAUGUAAACGUCUAUCAGCAGGGAAGAAAAGGAGGGUACCUGACUAAGAAGCCGCGGCUAACGACGUGCCAGCAGCCGAGGAACUACGUAGGGGGCACGCGUUAUCCGGAUUUACUGGGUGGCAAGGGAGCGUAGGCGGUUUAGCAAGUCAGAAGUGAAAGCCCGGGGCUCAACUCCGGGACUGCUUUUGAAACUGUUGAACUAGAUUGCAGGAGAGGUAAGUGGAAUUCCUGGUGUAGCGGUGAAAUGCGUAGAUAUUAGGCGGAACACCAGUGGCGAAGGCGGCUUACUGGACUGUAAAUGACGCUGAGGCUCGAAAGCGUGGGGAGCAAACAGGAUUAGAUACCCGUGUAGUC